rnacentral:rRNA from 1 species
UGUAAGCGUAUACCAAAGUUGUUGCAGUUAAAACGCUCGUAGUCGGAAUUUGGCAGUUCCGGAUGUGUGCACGUCGUGUGCGCACUUCGCGGGGAUUGCUUUUGUGGUCUUGCGUAGGAUGAGGCACUUUUAUUAGUGAACGUCCUCACGCAACCACUUUUUACUGUGAGAAAAUCAGAGUGCUCAAAGCAGGCAUUUGCCGUGAAUGUAUUAGCAUGGAAUAAUAGAAUAGGACUUGGUUCUAUUUUGUUGGUUUGUUGGGACUGAGUAAUGAUUAAGAGGGACAGUUGGGGGCAUUUGUAUUCCGGCGCUAGAGGUGAAAUUCUUAGAUUGCCGGAAGACAAACUGCUGCGAAAGCGUCUGCCGAGGAUGUUUUCAUUGA